CGUCUACAUUUUUUAAAUUUUCAAAUCUUUCAGCGUCUUCUUUCUACCCUCUCCUUUCACUUUACCAAACUUUUAUUUUCUUAAGGAUUUUUUCCCCACUUGCGUCUUUGAAAGCAACAUCUUCAACUUCUACACCAUCUUCAACCUCAUAGAUGCUUUUAUGCUCUAUCUCACGAUCAUCGUGGAGACUAGCACGGUUUCCAAACCCUAUCAUUUGGCAUUCUCAAAUGGUUUUUGUCAAGGUUAGACUCACGGUUGGAUUCACAUGAUUGACCGCAAUCGGAAUCGAUUGGCUUCUCAGGGAAGAACGUGAAGAUGACUCAAAGCUGAUGUUGAUAGCAAGAGCAAGGUUAAUCGAAAAAUCGACGAAAGAGGAGAUAAAGUAUCAUUUGUUUCAAGUUGGAGAAUCCAGAGUCUCCCUUACAUCGAUUCGUUUUUAGGUGUGCGAUUUCACUUAUUCAUGCUUCACAAUGUUUUGUUGAAAUGUUCUUCUGCUAGAUAGAUAAAAUCUACUUUUUUAUUUGUUUGAACUAGAUGAAUAUUUUUACAUUAGUUUAUUAUGGUGAAUUUAUGUUAAUGUUUUUAUUUCAUAAACUUUUAUGAGAUGAUCGAAUAUGUGAAAUUUAUAAUUGCGUGAGUGUAAUAAUUUUGGGCACACGAUUCUGUUUGAGGAUUCACGUGAGCAAUUGAGCUUUGAGUUUCAAAUAAUUGUGUCUUUGACCUAUGAUCCUUAUUAAAUGAAUCUGAAAGACAUUCGUAAGUUAUAAGCUUGGUUGCUUUUUUAGCUCGUGUACUUGAGUCUAUGUGCAGUUUUAGUCCUCUUAGUUUUGGUUUUCUUGCAUUUAGUCAUCAUAUUUUCCUAAUUGUUCAAAGUGAUUCCCCCGCCCCAAAUUCCAUCCAUUAAUUAACAGAAUUUGUACAUAGAUGGUCAUCUAUCAUUGCUAUGUUUAGAUUUUAGUCCUUUUGGUUUUAGAGUCUUGCAUUUAGUAAUCAUAUUUUCCUAAUUGUUUAAAUUAAUUCCCCCACCUCAAAUUUCAUCCAUUAAGUAACAAAAUUUUUGCAGAGGUGUAAUCUCUCAUUGAUAUUAUAGAUCCACAACCGAAAAAAUAUAAAGUAAUUAAAUAAAAUAUAUUUAUUUUAUUUGAUACAUUCUUUAUCAUUUAUAUAUUCUAUAAUUUUUUUCUCUUUGCUAAUUUAUACAAAAUAAUUAUAUGCCAGCCCAUUAUUUAAUUUCUAUUAAUCAUUGGAUAACUUUUUUUGCUGAGUUGCUUUGAACAAUUAAGAAACACCAAUCACUUGGGUUAAUGAUACCGUGUAAAACACCAAUCAACAGUAUCCCAAAUAACCAUUCAACUUUUAAUUAUAAUUACUAGUGCUCUUGAACCCUUCUACUGCUUGUAAAUAGAUACGUUGAGUACCUAAAGUUCUAAAGAUUAUGCCAUGCUCCAAGUUCCUCCACAAAUUUGAGCAAUUACUCUUACUCAUUUUUCUUGUGCAUUACAUGAUUUGCUACGAUAACUAAUUUCUCCAAGUAUCUUUGUGCAAUGAGUGUUGAUAAUUUAUUAUCUUAUCACAACUUUAUUCUUUUGAAACCUUAAUGUGCAUGGUCAAUACAAAGUAUACGAUCUUUGUUUAUAAAGUUUAUAUGAUGGAUCAUUAUUCCAAGGGAAGGUGUGAUUUUCAUCUUUAUCUCCACUUUAACUUUAGUAAUCAAAUUGAUGUACUGGUAUUGAUGCGUAAUAAUUUUGACUGUUACCUAUCACUAUUUAUCUCUCUAGUGUGGUGCACCUGCUCUUUAAGUGCAUUUGUUCUUUAUGUUCUACUUAAGGUUGAAAAUUUGAGCCAACUUGCCAAGAGCUUCUGAUUGUUAAUGUAGCUAUCUAGAGUUUGAUAUUUUUACUUGUUUUAAAUGUUUGAUCGUAGGACCUGAUAGAAAGAAAAAUAUUUGUAACAAUAAAAACGAAUUAGAUUGCAUAAUGUUUAUGAAGCCUUUUCAUAGGCGCUUCACAAACUACAUGUUAGGUGCCAAAAGUUUGAACUCACACAAGAAAGGAAAUUACAAAGUCAUUUACAGAGUGGUAUUAAUAUAAGCUUGAAUAAGGAUACUUUUUCUAUUAGAGAAGGAAGAGGAAAUGUUUCUUCCAAAAAUUAGGCCUCAGCUGCAAUUGGAUUGAAGUGGAUGCUUAAUCAGGUAAAAAGUGCUCACUAUUUAGUCAUGUUCUUGAGUAUUGUUUUUUUUAUCGGCAUUCUAGAGUGUAGUGAAUCUGGUUUGUUUCAUAAACAUAUUAAACAUUUGUGUUUGUGUUUCAGGAAACGUUAGGAUUAAUACCUUCAUAGAAACAUUAAUGCAAGCACAAAUGAAGGCACAAGCAGAAAUGCAAGCAACUAUGCAACAACAGAUGCAAGAGCAAAUGCAAUCUUUUAAGAGAGAAUUAUUGUCUGCUUUGAAGAAACAAUAAUGAAGACAUGUCUUAAAGAAUCCAAAACUUUGUUUAUGUUUUAAUUGUGUUGAUGCAUUACUUUUUGUUGAUACCCUCCAAUGCUUUUGUGUCCUAAAACUAUUAUACAUUGGUGGAAACUUUUAUGUUGUUUUGUACUGUUGGAUGGAUAUACUUUGAUCAUCGUAGGAUUGAUUAUCUAUCCUUUUUAAAUAGGUAUUGCAAAUAUUGGAGGUAUUUAGACA